UGGAGCAAUCACAAUUGAUUUCAGAUAAUCAACAGAUGGCACUUUAUGCCAACUCUAACAAAAAACGCAGAUCACUGUAGUUUCCUGAAAUCAUGGCUGCUUGAUGAUAGUGGGAGGAUCGUAUACAGAAAGUCCUCACUUGCUACGAUGUCACUGGUUGUGAAACAAGGUGAUUCGAGGGAACGUGGCUUUAUUGCACAUCUGAAUGAGGACAGGCACCUUAAGAAGAGGGCGAUUGAGUUUCAUUUUUAACGGGUAUUGCGGUGUUUGAUGAGAACAACUUCAACUUUACUAAGGUUGGGAAAGAGGAGGUGCUCUUCCAAUUUGAAUGAAACGGUGAAGUCGAGUUCCUGCCAAGCUUACCCAUUGAUGUCAAGAAUUCACUUAGUGUCAUUACUAUCAAUCUCAAUCCUAUUGAAUCUAGACUUGUGUUGAUCAUCCCUGGGAUUCUAGAAUGCUUGCAUAAGAGGAUUGACCUUGAAACAUGGAAUCCUUACUUACAAUUGGGCUACAACAGUUUCAGUGCAUUUGCCACCAUGAAACACCUUCACUUCCAGGUUCCAAACUAUGACCAUUUUAAGUUGCUAUCACUCUAAUACUUAGUGGCAUGUAUCUAAAAUCUUGUUCAUUGUACUGUUGAGUAUGGCUUACAAAAAUGGUCUUAUAAUUAAUAAAAUCUUGGUAACUAAGAAUAAUAUCUAUAAUUGUCUUGCCACAAGCUUAUUACUUGGCAGUGCCAUUUCCUAUCCAAAAAGUUCCACAUGCUACUUUUUAUGUCAAACUGGAUCAUAUUGGAAAUUAUUUUCGUAUGUUAUAGCGUAAUUAAUUUGACCAAGUACACCAAGCAUCUGGUUAGUCACUAACUCACUGUGAUCCUUCUCUGUGAAAUGAGAAAACACCUCUGAAGUACUACAUAAAUUGAUCACUGGUAUAAUUUUAUAUUUGUUUUCAUCUAGGGAAAUCUUGUUUUAUAUGUAUGGGGUUCGAUUACAUUACUUACACUGUGAAAUCGAAGACUAUAGCUGCUAGAUCUUUGCCAAGGGAUUUGAAUUUAUUUUUUUAUUUUUUUUAUUAUUACUUUUUUUUUGGUGCUUUGUGCUUUUGUGUAUAAAAUCUUCAAAUAUGUAUGCACCAGGAGAUUUCUAAGCUUCUAAUGUAAAGACCUCAAAUUUGAGCCUCAUGCUCUUAAAUUUGACAUAGUUUUGUAUUUCUUGAUCUGAUUUCAUGGGACAGUUGAAAAUAAUAAACUGAUGUGUAAUUUACAUAUAUGCAUUACAAUAGUGUUCUGGGCAAGUUCUUCAUAUAGGUAAAAAUGUAUAACUGGGUUUAUGUUAGAAAUUCUUAUGUUCUUUUCGUAUUUAAUUUUCUGAAUGGUUAUGUACUUUUUGGAUUUGCUUCUAGGUUUUAAACUCUGAUAUUUGUUGAUCAAUCAAUAAUCUAAGGGGAGUUUAAAAUUGUUGGAAGUCAUACAUCUUUAAAAUGGAAAGAGAGGUAAAAUCAUAUUCUUGGAUUUUAAAAUUUUCUUGUGGUUAGCUUUGAUACUUGUCCUAAAAUUUGAAUUUACGGAAUUUAUAUGGAUGUACAUAUAUGUGUCUAUUGAUAUUCCACACCUUGUUAUCUUUUAUGUUAAACUUCCAACUCUAUCAAGCAUAUAAGUGAAGUAAAAUUAGUUGUAGAAUUGGUGAAGCAAAUAGGUUGCACAUGUUGAGAACAAAGCACGUAUAUAAAUUUCAUUAUUAUUUUAAGUGAAGUGCCUGAGGAAGUAUUAAUCAUCUACAGAAAGAGAUUUCUCAAAAAAUUGGAUUUCAUUUUUUUGCUUAACAUAAUAAACAUAUCAUAGGAUAAGCAAGAAUCCAUGACAUCUUGGUGAUUACCUUACGAUAUAAGGCACACCGACUGGAGAAAUUUAAUUUUAAGGUUUAGGAUCAUUGCUUCCAUUUUUUGCCAUGAACUUAGAUUUUAAUUUGCUACUGUAUGACUUUGAAGAAUUGUUUGUUUGGCUGCGAAAAUCAAUCCAGGCAAUGUAUUUAGUUCAAGAAUUAAACUAUUUCAUUCUCUUGUUUAUUUCAUUGGUUUUGUUAUUAGGUGGCUCUUUAUUUUAUGAUGACAAUUUUGUUAUUUAUUUUCUUAUUUAGUUGAAUAUAGUUCUUAUGUUCUAUAAUUCUUUGUGGUUAAUGCUGGACCAAAUCUUUGUUUUGUCCAUAGAAUACACAGGUCUAUGAAUUUUAUGAUGGGCCUAUGGAAGUGAGUUCAUUAAGUCUAAUCCUGAUUUGUCAGCAGAAGUGAUUUUAAUUUAUUUGUAUUUUUCAUACCUCAUUGUAUCUGGUUAAUUUAAUAAUUGAUUGAGAAGAUUGUUAUAAUUUGCAUCAAACCAAGAUUAGUAUGUUUUGAAAGAUGAAAACCAAAGAGUUUUAUUCCUCAGCAAUGAGAUCUCAGAGAAAUUGGAGGAACUAUAUUGACAAAUUAUUUAAAAAGGCAUGGCGCGGAUAUUUUGUAUUUGAUGAAGUCCACUAUAAAUAGGAAUUUUAUUAUACUAUAAGAAUUCAAUUUUUAUCGAGGAUUUCUUGUUUAGAGAGGAAAGGGAGGUUAAAAAAAAAAUUAGCCUCGAUGGAACUGGAAAUGUUUCAACGAGGUAGGGAUUUUAUGUCCAUAGUAGAGAAUCACUUCUGAUUUUUCUUCUAUUGCAAUUAUAAUUGAUUUUCUUUUGAGUUAAUAAAUAACAAUGUUGACUAACCUUGUCUUUUUGUCAAACAGGCUAUCUAUCAGCAAUUUUUAUUACGAAAGAGGAAGCCACCAAAAUAGGACAAUGAGCUUCCAAUAUGUAGUUUUGAUUAAACUUAAUCAAGUUCUUAGUUUCCGAUUCAUUUUAUUGUGACAGAUAAAUAAUUUUCCAAAUAUAGUUUAAUUUUUUAUAGUUCGUUGGCAAGGAAAGAUAUAUUUGAUCUGGGUUAAUUUUAAUUCGCUUUUCUAAUGAUAUUUGUGCUUCAAUUAUAUAUGGAGAAGGUUGUAUACAUAAUGUACUUUCGUUUCCUUUUAUCAACUCAACUAACAUCGACCUAUUGUGAUAAUGAAACAACGCUUUUGCCCAUCAAAAGUGGGUAUGCUGGCUAGAUGUUUGUGCAUGCCUCUUGUUUCUAUUCAUGUUGGGAAGAUCACCAAGCAAGGGAGCCUCUUAUGUCCAACAACUAUAAGAACCCUUGGAUGCGUGGGUAUCACCAUUUGGCUACACUCUAAGCCUCAUUAUAAAGAGGUAUUCCUCUUGUUUUUCGUUUACUUAGCUUUCAAAUUUAGGUACUAUGUCGAUUCUAAUUUAUUUGAAGUGUCUCGAUCAUCAACAGGAAAAAAAGAGUUUCGCUUAUUAUGGCAGCUGCACUCUUUGAAGGCAACACAAUUGCUGCUCUCAUGGCUCAUCUUGCUCAAGAAACCGAGGUGAAAUGUAAGAUUAAUACAAUAAACGAGUGAACAUUCAUGGAAAUAUCUAUUGGGGAGAUACAAGUGCCCGAAUGGGGCCUUGUGGAGAAUUAGGGUACCUGUCAUAUUCGGAAAGCAACGAAACCUGAAGAUUUCAAGGAAUUGAUGAAUUCCAAUGUUACAACAAGGUAUACUAACAUGAACCAGGAAGUCUCAAUUCCUUUUACUGCCACUGUCCACACGUUUUUAAACUUGAAGGGCAACACUUUAACAUUGUAACUAUUCGGAGGAAAGAAAGCCAAGUAGUAGUAUAUUUAGAACAGAGAGUGAAAGAAUACCUCCAUUAGAGUUUCGAACUCACCAGCAGCAAAUAUUGUGCUAAGCUUUUCCCUUUAAAUGAAAAUAGUCAACAGGGAUUGGAAAAGAAUGGUUAUAAUUUGUUUUUGGAACUCGCUUUUAAGUGUUGGGAAGAAGAUAUUAUCAUUGAUCAAGCACUUGAAUGUAAAAUGAGAAAGUCAGGUAUAACACAUGGCCGGCUUAUGCUAUUCUCCUGCAAGAUGGGAUAUUGCUUCAUGCAAACGAUAGACUUCAAAUGACUGGCAUUACUAUGGGAGAGGUUUAUGUCGCCGUGGAAAGUUGUUCGAUUUUCCGCCUAAGCUAUGGUUGGUCAUCCAUUAUUCAGGUGGAGAUGUUAGGAGUAGCUCUGAAUAAGAAGAGCUACGAAAAAGUUUCGGAGAUUACAAAUGAUUAAGAGGAAAAGCCAACUGUUUAGGACAUCAAAGAUUCAAUCAAUAUAAUAGAAGUAGUAGAUUCAAAAGUGAGCAAGCUGAAGUCAUUAGAUGUAUCGGUAGAUCAUGUGUUAAUUUUAGACUCUCUUAUAUAGUUCUACUGACACUCAUUUCAUAUAAGAUCAAAACCAUCAAAUUUUGGAGUUAUUUCAAUAUAUUUAA